rnacentral:rRNA from 1 species
AUUGAACGCUGGCGGCAUGCCUUACACAUGCAAGUCGAACGGCAGCACGGGGGCAACCCUGGUGGCGAGUGGCGAACGGGUGAGUAAUGCAUCGGAACGUGCCCAGUAGUGGGGGAUAACCAGUCGAAAGACUGGCUAAUACCGCAUACGACCCAAGGGUGAAAGCGGGGGACCGUAAGGCCUCGCGCUAUUGGAGCGGCCGAUGUCUGAUUAGCUAGUUGGCGGGGUAAGAGCCCACCAAGGCGACGAUCAGUAGCUGGUCUGAGAGGACGACCAGCCACACUGGGACUGAGACACGGCCCAGACUCCUACGGGAGGCAGCAGUGGGGAAUUUUGGACAAUGGGCGCAAGCCUGAUCCAGCCAUGCCGCGUGCGGGAAGAAGGCCUUCGGGUUGUAAACCGCUUUUGGCAGGAACGAAACGGCGCAGGCCAAUACCUUGCGCUAAUGACGGUACCUGCAGAAUAAGCACCGGCUAACUACGUGCCAGCAGCCGCGGUAAAAC